rnacentral:rRNA from 1 species
GAGGGAAAGGCGAAAAGAACCCCGGCGAGGGGAGUGAAAAAGAACCUGAAACCGUGUACGUACAAGCAGUAGGAGCCCCAUCACUCAAGUGCCUCGCACUGAGUGAUGCAAUAACAUCACCGAAAAUAGCGCCGAAUUUGCUAACAAGGUUGGUCGAUUUUUUCAAGCCGUCGCGCAGUGUACCUAGAAGUACACGAGCAACGGAAGUUAAAAAAUCGGGCAAGAUUGAACGCAAAGGCAAGCGGGACAUUUGAGGAUGGGGUGACUGCGUACCUUUUGUAUAAUGGGUCAGCGACUUAUAUUCUGUAGCGAGGUUAACCGUAUAGGGGAGCCGUAGGGAAACCGAGUCUUAACUGGGCGAAUGAGUUGCAGGGUAUAGACCCGAAAC